rnacentral:rRNA from 1 species
AUUGAACGCUAGCGGGAUGCCUUACACAUGCAAGUCGAACGGAGCGGCGGACGGGUGAGUAAUGUAUCGGAACGUGCCCGGUAGUGGGGGAUAACUACGCGAAAGCGUAGCUAAUACCGCAUACUAUCAGAGCAGCCGAGGUCGGAUUAGCUAGUUGGUGGGGUAACGGCCUACCAAGGCGACGAUCCGUAGCUGGUCUGAGAGGACGACCAGCCACACUGGGACUUAGACACGGCCCAGACUCCUACGGGAGGCAGCAGGGGGGAAUUUUGGACAAUGGGGGAAAGCCUGAUCCAGCCAUCCCGCGUGUGUGAAGAAGGUCUUCGGGUUGUAAAGCACUUUUGGCAGGGAGGCGGUACCUGCAGAAUAAGCACCGGCUAACUACGUGCCAGCAGCCGCGGUAAUAC